GAGUUUGAUCGUGGCUCAGAGUGAACGCUGGCGGUAGGCCUAACACAUGCAAGUCGAACGGUAACAGGUCUUUCGGGAUGCUGACGAGUGGCGGACGGGUGAGGAAUACAUCGGAAUCUGCUCAGUCGUGGGGGAUAACGCAUGGAAACGUGCGCUAAUACCGCAUACGACCUUCGGGUGAAAGCAGGGGAAUCUCUCGGGAUCCUUGCGCAAUUGAAUGAGCCGAUGUCGGAUUAGCUAGUUGGUAGGGUAAAAGCCUACCAAGGCCACGAUCCGUAGCUGGUCUGAGAGGAUGAUCAGCCACACUGGGACUGAGACACGGCCCAGACUCCUGCGGGAGGCAGCAGUGGGGAAUAUUGGACAAUGGGGGCAACCCUGAUCCAGCCAUACCGCGUGGGUGAAGAAGGCCUUCUGGGUUGUAAAGCCCUUUUGUUGGGGAAGAAAAACAACGGGUUAAUACCCCGUUGGUAUGACGGUACCCAAAGAAUAAGCACCGGCUAACUUCGUGCCAGCAGCCGCGGUAAUACGAAGGGUGCAAGCGUUACUCGGAAUUACUGGGCGUAAAGGGUGCGUAGGUGGUUGCGCCAGUCUGUCGUGAAAGCCCUGGGCUUAACCUGGGAAUGGCGAUGGAAACUGUGCAACUAGAGUGUGACAGAGGGUGGUGGAAUUCCUGGUGUAGCAGUGAAAUGCGUAGAGAUCAGGAGGAACAUUCGUGGCGAAGGCGGCCACCUGGGUCAACACUGACACUGAGGCACGAAAGCGUGGGGAGCAAACAGGAUUAGAUACCCUGGUAGUCCACGCCCUAAACGAUGCGAACUGGAUGUUGGGUCCAACUUGGGAUUCAGUAUCGAAGCUAACGCGUUAAGUUCGCCGCCUGGGGAGUACGGUCGCAAGACUGAAACUCAAAGGAAUUGACGGGGGCCCGCACAAGCGGUGGAGUAUGUGGUUUAAUUCGAUGCAACGCGCAGAACCUUACCUGGCCUUGACAUGCACGGA
rnacentral:rRNA from 1 species